rnacentral:lncRNA from 1 species
UGAUUGAUUGAUUUAGAAUGUGCUUGAGACUAUUAAAGCCCUCAUAAAAAUCAUAUUAAGUCAUAGUGUAGUGACCUAGUAGCUGACCUAUUUUCUUGAAUCUAUUAAUUAAUUGGUGUCCAAGGACUGUUUCAAGUACAGUAGUUAUUUAAUUGGUUCUGUUGCUGGUCUGGCCAAUUUUAUUGAUGUCUAAGAAAAGCAACAGGAGGACCCCC